rnacentral:rRNA from 1 species
UAAUACGAAGGGUGCAAGCGUUACUCGGAAUUACUGGGCGUAAAGCGUGCGUAGGUGGUUCGUUAAGUCUGAUGUGAAAGCCCUGGGCUCAACCUGGGAAUGGCAUUGGAUACUGGCGACCUAGAGUGCGGUAGAGGGGUGUGGAAUUCCCGGUGUAGCAGUGAAAUGCGUAGAUAUCGGGAGGAACAUCUGUGGCGAAGGCGACACCCUGGACCAGCACUGACACUGAGGCACGAAAGCGUGGGGAGCAAACAG